GAGCCCAGCUCUGCAGGGGGCCGUGGGGUGACCGCCCCCACGUGGGGCUGUGGGGGCGCUGGGCACCCCUCAGCCGCAUCCUGGGGGCGCCCGUGUCCUGGCUGGGUUGUGGGUACCGGCCCCCCACGGUCACGGUCACUGCCUGGCCCUGGGGGCUGUUACUGGGUGGUUAUUGCCGGGGCGGUGGGUUAUUGCCAGGGUAGUUGGUUAUUAUCAGAGUGGUGGGUUAUUACCGGGAUAGUUGGUUAUUACUGGGGCAGCAGGUUAGUACCGGGAUAGUUGGUUAUUACUGGGGCGGUUGUGGGUUCGCAGACAUCCCAGCCGGUGGGGGUGGCCACCCGCGUCCCCAUGCAGGCAGGAGCCGGCUCUGGGCCAUGAGCAACACCACAGCCCCCACAGCCCCGGGCGCAGCAGGCGACUCACUGGUGGGCUACGUCCUGGGACCCUUCCUCCUCGUCACCCUCCUCGGUGCCCUCCUGGCCAUGGUGAUGUACGUCCAGAAGAAGCGGAGGUUUGACCGGCUGCGCCACCGGCUGCUGCCCAUGUACAGCUACGACCCGGCCGAGGAGCUGCAGGAGUCGGAGCAGGAGCUGCUGGUGGAGGCGGAGGACACCUGGGCGUCGCCCGGCUGGGGGGGUUCCUCAUCCCGUCAGCCCCCCCGCGGGGACUGGAAGGCCUGAUGCUGCCCGGAGAGCUGGGACCGAAUCCUGCCCGCAGGAGGCAAGGGAGGACAGUAUCGGCACCGGCGCUGCCACCUUCGCCAUCCGCCGGGAAGGGCAGGAUGUGCCCACGGUACCAUGGCGAUGCCAGCGGCUGCAGCCUGGGAGCAAUCCCACCCCCUCCUGUCCGUCCCGGCGGAGGAUGGCUGGCACCAUCAUGGAUAUCCCUGUGGAGAAGGUGGCCGCUCCAUGCCCGUCAGCUCUCCCUGCAUGGAGAAAACCUGCUCCCACCCUGCUGCCGGGGCCGGACCCCAGCCAGAGUCCAGGGCGGAGGCAUCAAACAUCCAUAAAAUGUUUUAUUCAAGUAACUGCAAAUAGGAAACCAAAAGGUCGUUAACAGUAAACCAAAAAAAAAAGAAAAAAAAAAAAAGAAAACCAAAAAAAACCCAAAUCCCAAUUUUCUCCCACCGGGGCCGCCCGGCACCGACCUCCGGUCCCGCUGCAGCAGUUGUGCAAGGGCAGUGUGGUGGGGGAGCAUCCCGCAUUCCCCCCACCCCACUGCCCUGCCAGCCUCUAUCCCUUGAAGCAGCAGAGCAACCUAGACCUCAAAAUAACAAUUUUU